rfam:Trichuris muris Edinburgh genomic scaffold, scaffold59
UCCACGGUAGUAUAGUGGUGAGUAUUCCCGCCUGUCACGCGAGCGACCCGGGUUCCAUUCCCGGCCGGGGAG